UCCCAGGCUUCACUGAAGCCUUCCAAGUUCUUCUGUUGAAAGCUGGAAAUCUCAUUUCUCAGCUU
rnacentral:snoRNA from 1 species